rnacentral:rRNA from 1 species
UACGUAGGGUGCAAGCGUUGUCCGGAAUUAUUGGGCGUAAAGAGCUCGUAGGCGGUCUGUCGCGUCUGCUGUGAAAGCUCAGGGCUUAACCCUGAGCUUGCAGUGGGUACGGGCAGACUAGAGUGCGGUAGGGGAGACUGGAAUUCCUGGUGUAGCGGUGAAAUGCGCAGAUAUCUGGAGGAACACCGGUGGCGAAGGCGGCAUUCUGGACCGACAUUGACGCUGAGGAGCGAAAGCCAGGGGAGCAAACGGG